AGCAGCCGCGGUAAUUCCAGCUCCAAUAGCGUAUAUUAAAGUUGCUGCAGUUAAAAGCUCGUAGUUGAAUUUCGGGACUAAUAUGUCGGUCGUGCCUCGGUACGUACUGGCUUAUUGGUUUCUCCUUUCUGAAGAACCAUGAUGUCAUUUAUUUGGUGUCGUGGGGAAUCAGGACUGUUACUUUGAAAAAUUAGAGUGUUUAAAGCAGGCUUACGCUUGAAUACAUUAGCGUGGAAUAAUGAAAUAGGACGUUUGAUUCUAUUUUGUUGGUUUCUAGGAUCGACGUAAUGAUUAAUAGGGAUAGUUGGGGGCAUUAGUAUUCAAUUGUCAGAGGUGAAAUUCUUGGAUUUAUUGAAGACUAACUACUGCGAAAGCAUUUGCCAAGGAUGUUUUCAUUAAUCAAGAACGAAAGUUAGGAGAUCGAAGACGAUCAGAUACCGUCGUAGUCUUAACCAUAAACUAUGCCGCUAGGGAUCGGAUGAUGUUAAUUUUUAUGACUCAUUCGGCGCCUUACGGGAAA
rnacentral:misc_RNA from 1 species